UCGGUGGAACGCGGUAAACCCCUCGAGCGGGAAACCCAAACUUUGGUAGGGGAGCUUCACGUAAGGAAUCGAACGAUGCGUGGGGCAGACAGAGAUGUCUGAGAUAGAUGAUUACCGCUGUAUGCUAGCUGCCUGAGUUAGCAUAGAGUACAAAACAUGGCUUACAGGG
rnacentral:RNase_P_RNA from 1 species